AGGUCGGAAACAGUUAGGAAGAUUACCUUGUGGGAGUAGCUGGACCAAACUCUAUUGGUAUUUCAAGUUUGAAAUCCCUGUUUGACCAGACUAACAUUUCAGAUGAGGUAAUAGAUGGCCUAAUCUAUUUGCAGUGUGAGAAUUUCCCUCACAUUUAUCCAAUACCAAGCCAAAUCACUGGAAAAAUUUUGGAUGGGUCCACAAGAGCACAAAGUGCAUUCUUUUUGAAGAAAAACAUCUUUCAGAUGUAUGAGAAAUUGAUUGGAGCCUGUCUGGAAAACGGCAGCCACUGGACCUUGUUUUUUUGUGACAUACCCAAGAGGACCAUAGUCUAUAUGAAUUCAUUUGGCGAGUCGGAGGUCAGAAAAAGUGCGGUGUUGAAAAACUGGAGCUCAUUUGCUUCAGCAAGAGGCUGCGCUGGAGAGUGGACCUUGUCACAUGUGAGCCACCCACAUCAACAGGAUGGGAACUCAUGUGGAGUGCAUGUCAUAAUGUUUGCCCAAUCUCUCAUUGACGGUAAAACACAAGUGGAGGAGUACAACACUGAAAUCACAAAGCUCAGGUCCCGACUUUGCCACUACUUAUUUUCCUCAAUAGAUCGAACUAGGAAGUGCAGUCAGUGCUGGUGUGUGAUUGCAGCCAAAGACCGGGUACACUAUGACAUGUCCUUAGCCAUAUAGAUUGUUUAUUUAAUGGACUUUGUUCAUUUGUUUUUUGUUUGUUUAUUUCUUCUUCUUUUUUUUUUUUUUAAUUCACAGGUGCAGUGCCAGAAAUGUGGUGCAUACAAGCACAUGCGUUGUUCAAAGUCUGUUUGUGGCAUCUGUAUCUUCUGUGAGAGGCCGUAAAGCCAAACUGCCCGCAAUGAUUCUUGACAGGCCUAAGAAGGCCAAAACUAAAGUAACAGUGUUUAGUGUUCUGAGUGAAGAGGAGGCUGGGGAGCUAGCCCUCGGGUUUGCCGGAAGAUUGGCCUGCGAUGUCACAACAGACAUGGUCUGUAAAGGCAUCGACCAUUCAAGUGCUGAUAUGACAAAACAGACUCUUCUCAAAAUCCAACACAAUCUUAAACAUGAGCUGACUGAUUCCUCAACCUUCAGUUUGCUGACACACACCUUUGGCCCCGCUGCACUGGAUUCUGUCAUUUCAUUCCUGUGUGAAAAACUUGAUCUUGUUUCUUAAAUAAUGAAACCUUUUGUGACUUUUGUUUGUUCUGUAAAUCAGAAUCUUGAAAAUUGUUCAUUGUUGUUCUAAGUUUGUGUUAACUAUUUGGCAAAAAUGAUUGGUUCCUAAUCCAAACAGCAUAAUGACUGUUCUAACACAUAUCUUAAAAAUGCUACAAAGAAAGAAAAUUAUCACAUAUGUUUCAAUAUGAAUGUAAUUGUGUCACACUCGGUUUGUAGUAGCUUUCCUGUUUUAUUUUGAGUUUUGGUAUGUUUACACUGUUAUUUUUAUUUCCCGUGUGUUCGUCUUCCCUUAUUAGUUUUACUGUAUUUAAUUAGUCUGAUUUAAUAACUUAUAAUUAUUUACUUUCCAGUGUGUGUAUAUGCUCCUCGUUUGGAUUAUUGUUUGUUUGAGUUCUGCCUGUCUUUUCUAUUAAAGAUUUGGACUUUUGGACUAUUAGUGGACCUCGUAGGUUUUUAUUCUGUUCAAUUGGUAAUUGACUGGGUUUAAUUUAGUGGCCUGGAAAACAGGCCGGAGGGGUCUGGUCAUUUUAACCCCCUAAG
ensembl:lncRNA